UUGUUGUGGUUAAAAAGCUCGUAGUUGGAUCUCAACAGCCUUGAAGCGGUUAACUUUGUAGUUUUACUGCUUUAUAGGCUGUGCUUUUGCUGGAGGUUUAGGGGUGCUCUUGAUCGAGUGUCUCUGGAUGCCAGACAGGUUUACUUUGAAAAAAUUAGAGUGCUCAAAGCAGGCUAAAAUGCCUGAAUAUUCGUGCAUGGAAUAAUAGAAUAGGAUGUCGAUCCUAUUUUGUUGGUUUUCGGGACUCGACAUAAUGAUAAAUAGGGACAGCCGGGGGCAUUUGUAUUCAAACGACAGAGGUGAAAUUCUUGGACCGUUUGAAGACCAACUACUGCGAAAGCAUUUGCCAAGAAUGUUUUCAUUAAUCAGAACGAAAGUUAGAGGUUCGAAGGCGAUUAGAUACCGCCCUAGUUCUAACCAUAAACCGAUGCCAGCUAGCGAUCUGCCUGCGUUUUUACUGUAGGCUGGGCGGAAGCUUCCGGGAAACCAAAGCAUUUGGGUUCCAGGGAAGUAUGGUUGCAAGCUGA
rnacentral:rRNA from 1 species